AGAAAACUGGGAGACAGAGGGGGAUGCAGACAUUCAAAUAUGUGCCCCUACAGUGGAGAAUCUGGGAGCACUUCUAGUCUCAGAGGACAGUUGCAUGCACACCUGUGGUUCUUGGUUUUGGUGAGUGACAGGUUCAGAAGGGUACUGGUCAUUUUAUGAAUGGCAAAAUAUGUAUUAAGGAUAACUGCGUGGAAGCAAAAGAUACGUUGGUAAAGGGCUCAAAUUCCUGACUUGUGCGACGAGCAAAUGUUUCUCAGACUCGCCUGCAAGGAUAUUUACUGUGAAAUCACUGGAGUGCAACACAGGAUGACUAACAUCAUGUCCUUUAAAAAAAGUGUUUACAGUAGCAAAACAUUCACUUUGGAGUUUAGAACUAUUAAUUCUGUUACUAGCGCUAAAGGAAUGAUAGUAAGAAGUAAGGAAGGAGAAAUUUAUUGUGACUCUGCUCAUGAGGGCCAAACUUGAAGGUGCAAAGUUCUUCCUGCACUGCUAAAUCAAAGUUAAAGCUUGAAAGUAUAAAAGACCUCCUCCCUCCUACAUCCUUUGCCUGUCACUCUCACUUCCUUCCAGCAAAGGCAGAUGACUACUACUUCAGUCAAAAGUCCCUCAAACAAGAUCUGUUUCAGCUAGAUUAACAAGAGUCAGUGUAAUCCAAUUCAUAGCAAAAAAUUAAUCUUGUCUUUAGGUAUAACAAUUGCACUUAUCUGUUUUGGAAGAAAAGCAUUCCUCUUCCCCACACUCUGAUGGUUUCUCUGAUUGGGCUGGGAUCCUACCUAAAACCAUACCCUGGAAAAGAUGCCCUUCAGCUAAUUCUUGGUUUUCUUACAGACAGGUCUGCCUUUCCUGUCCCCUUCAGCAGACCCAGACACCAAUUUUGAAGUGCCCUUUUAAACAAAAGGUUAAAAAUUGACUUCCAAAUGGAUGAAUUGGGAGGAUCACAUCUGUAGCAGUUAUCUUCAAGUGACUGAAAAAUGUCUUCCCCAAGACAUAGUUACCAGAAAUUUGAGCACCCUGGCAGAGUCUGCAGCUGCUGUACUCUCAAUUAUUUCCCAUCUUAUCUCCCUGGGUUUAACUGUGUGGCUGCAGCAAAACUGAGUCUGAGUAAUAAUAGGAUGUGCACUGGGAGCAUCUGACUCCUUGUGUCGAGUGUGAGGAGAACCAGAGCUCCUGUAAACCUCCCAACAGCCUGGGGCAAGGUUAAGGAGGGAGGGAGGCGCUUAGGCAAGAUUGUGUCCCUCUCCCUGACCCCUCUAUUUACAGCAACUUAAAAAAACGAUCCCUCAGCUUGCUCCUGAUUAGGUGAACUCUUGUUAGGGAGAGAAAUAAUGACACUUGUGUGCAUGGCACACAUCGAAGGCACACGUAUCUCCAAGACAAUGACUGUUUAAUAUCUGUCUAUGAAGUUCUCAUGAUCGUUUGCUUUCUUUUAUUAAUAAGGCUGUAUCACAGUGUUUUUAACUGCUCAGUUAAAAUAAGUAUGAGUAAGGUCAGGUUUUUUUUCAUUUGAGAAAUUAUGUUUUUAAAAUAUAAUUUUCUGCUUCCUUUCUGGUUUUAUGAUCUUAAUGUAUUAUUGUGCAAGCUUUAUCCAACAAUUUUCUUAAGUAUCUGUUACAUUUUAGAUUUGAAAUAAAAGAUUUUAGUUGAAAAGGUUUAUAUUUGAAGUGUUCAUGUAGGCAUUAAAAAAAAAAGCUUGAGGCCUAAUGAACUUCAUUGUGAGGAAAACACACUUUCAGACAUAAACGGAGUUAGGCUGUGUGCACAGCCAAUGCUCUUUUCCCCCCAUAUAGAAAUUCCACAGUUAUAAAAAGCUCAGAUGUUUUGUCUAGGCCUACUUUUCCUUCAGGAUUUUUAAGGAAAUUAGUAUCCUUUAGUUGUGUGAGAUAUGCCUCCACAGUGCAACACUGAGGAGCUUGACGUGGAGGAGGGCAGUGUUAGUGAUACACAUCACCAGUGCUCAUUAGCCCAGUGACAAAUACAGGGUAUUAGAUGGAGAAAGAUGCAUUGAUAAAAACAGCUACAUUACUCUGAUACCCUUAAUCAGCACUCACUUGGGUUCCUACAUUUGAAAAAUUUGUCCUGGAUACACUCAUGCACACACACACAUAUAUACUCACACAUAUAUAUAUGCAUAUAUGUAUAUAUACAUACAUAUGUUUAAGUAUAUUUAAGUUACAAUUCCAUUUAUUUAAAGUUAAAAUAAGAUUUAUCAUUGCUGAAACUGAAAUCAACUGUCUUUUACUAUGACAAAACCUUUAUUCCACUAAAACAAAUGCAUUUACAUUAGACACCACCUUUACAAUACAGCAAUACUUGCAUAAACCUGCACAUGAUCUACAGCUUAGCACCCUUUCAUGAAUUUCAGGUUAAAUAUCCUAUCAACAACAGCGCAAAAUAUAUAAAUCAACAAAUGAAAACAAAGUAAAAGCAGUUAUUGCAAUAAAGUUUAUUCUGAAUUUUAAUUCAAAUUUGUAAAACCAUAAAUGCUGAUAUGAUUUUACAAAUGCUCAACACGCUUUCAUAUAUGCAGUUAAAAAUUAAGACACUCCAAACCCACUUCUGAUGUAAAUCAGUGCCUGAACUUAUCUAUCCGGCUGGUAGCCACUUUGUCAUCCUUCAGUGGAACAUUUUCAAAAUCAACUGUAUUCUCUUGCAAUACGUAAUCUAAUUAAGAAGUAUAACAUAGCAGCCAGGACCAUAUCAUUGCUCUACAUAAAUAUAUAUCCUCAUUUCCAGGGGUGCUGAGAUCUCAUCAUGCUUUUAAUAGGAUCAUUUUUAUAUUAAAUUAUAUUAGUUUUAUAUUAUCUCCUAUGUCAUUGUUUAAGUGCUGCAUUCUCUGCCACAGCAGUGUGUAUGUAGUUUGCUGCCGGUUCCCUGGAGUACCAUUUUGAACUAAAUGUGAGCACUGCACUUUUAACAGGAUACAUUUACCAAUAUAAAAUUUUACUUGGUGAUAAAAGAA